AUACGGAGGGUGCAAGCGUUAUCCGGAAUCAUUGGGUUUAAAGGGUCCGUAGGCGGGCGAUUAAGUCAGAGGUGAAAUCCCACAGCUCAACUGUGGAACUGCCUUUGAUACUGGUUGUCUUGAGUUACAGUGAAGUAGAUAGAAUGUGUAGUGUAGCGGUGAAAUGCAUAGAUAUUACACAGAAUACCGAUUGCGAAGGCAGUCUACUAACUGUAUACUGACGCUAAUGGACGAAAGCGUGGGGAGCGAACAGGAUUAGAUACCCCGGUAGUCC
rnacentral:rRNA from 1 species